rnacentral:tRNA from 1 species
GCAAUCAUGGCGGAAUUGGCAGACGCGCUAGAUUCAGGUUCUAGUGUCAGCAAUGACAUGGAGGUUCAAAUCCUCUUGACCGCA